UGGGUAACCUGCCCAAGAGAUCGGGAUAACACCUGGAAACAGAUGCUAAUACCGGAUAACAACAGAUGAUGCCUAUCAACUGUUUAAAAGAUGGUUCUGCUAUCACUCUUGGAUGGACCUGCGGUGCAUUAGCUAGUUGGUAGGGUAACGGCCUACCAAGGCGAUGAUGCAUAGCCGAGUUGAGAGACUGAUCGGCCACAUUGGGACUGAGACACGGCCCAAACUCCUACGGGAGGCAGCCGGC
rnacentral:rRNA from 1 species